GAAAGCUUUGCUAAGGACAAGGCCUAUAAAUUUCCACCAUCACCGCUACUCCUUUGGACCAUCUCUUUACUCCAGCUUCCCCUCUUCUUCCUUCCUCUUUUUGUAGAUCAGGUUAAUUUAUUUCUAAUUCAUAGCUGUUUCUGUAAUGGAUAGUGAAAAGUUCGAUCAGUAUAUGGUUUGACGAAGAAAAAGUAACGAGGUAAGCCAUAGUUUGUGUUUGUCUUCCUGUAUGCCACACGCACAGAUCAAUCUCUUAACAAUAUUUUCUACUGUAAGUGGCGUACGAGGAGCCAAGCAUAUCCUUACUCUCCCUUUCUCUCUCUACUCUUUUCCUCUUUUCUUUAUCUUCUUUUCCUGUAUGACAAAGUAUACGGGUUAAUCAACUUAUUGUAAUCGCUGUUUGGGUAUAUUUCUGGUUUUCAUGGUUUCAUUUGCA